rnacentral:rRNA from 1 species
GACGAACGCUGGCGGCGUGCUUAACACAUGCAAGUCGAACGGGCUCUGUCUGGCUGUGUGCUGGGUGGGGUUAGUGGCGAACGGGUGAGUAAUACGUGAGUAACCUGCCCUCUUCUUUGGGAUAAGCCUUGGAAACGGGGUCUAAUACUGGAUAUUCCUGUCUGGUCGCAUGGCUGGGUGGGGAAAGUUUUUUUCGGUGGGGGAUGGGCUCGCGGCCUAUCAGCUUGUUGGUGGGGUGAUGGCCUACCAAGGCGUCGACGGGUAGCCGGCCUGAGAGGGUGACCGGCCACACUGGGACUGAGAUGCGGCCCAGACUCCUACGGGAGGCAGCAGUGGGGGAUAUUGCACAAUGGGCGCAAGCCUGAUGCAGCGACGCCGCGUGGGGGAUGACGGCUUUCGGGUUGUAAACCUCUUUCGUCGGGGGACAAGGCUCUGCUUGGUGGUGGGGUUGAGGGUACCCGGUGAAGAAGCGCCGGCUAACUACGUG